UACCGGUAUGCGCAGCGCAGGCUACACGAUCCCAUCAAAAUCGCAAUGGAAUAUUCGCAUAAAAGGCUGCUGAGGACCAAAUAAAAAAAGAGAGACGACCAGGGAGUGUUGCGAGCGGCCAAACAAGUGAUGUCGGCGACUGCCACUCCAGGGCGCUCUGUGCGCAUAUAUAUAACCACCUCGCCUCCACGUCACCGCGGGAUAUCGGCUGGUCUCCAGCAAGCGGCGGCGAGAUCGACGCCUCUGUAAUUAAUACGAUCAAACAACGCCAGGCUCUUCAGUGUACCUUCAGCAGACCAGACGACCGGCCUUUUUCCAAAGAAGUGAUACUGACCCAGGGGUCAUCGGCCUCGGGAACAGCCAUACGUAGUAUCCGUACUUCAAAACAACCCACGUACAGUGCCUGAUAAAUGUAUUGCUUGUCGGUCGGCAGUGGCCGUUACCUCUUCAGCAUCUAAUUGGUCGUGCGGAGGCACUGAUCAUUAAGAUACACAGCUGUGCUUCUGAAGCAAUCUUAUUUCACUGCACCAGGAUCAAGUGCAAGAUAAGCGUCAUUGAAGCGUAUUUUGGAACUACUUUCUCUUACGGAGCGAACGGCUACUACUGUCUGCGUAGGAAAACGCAGCUUGAUUAUUUUGCAAGAGCACGAAGAUAGCGAAAUAAAUUUGAUGUGGUGUACCCGUAACCGUCGUGUGAAAUAAUGAAACCUUGAGUAGCAUUUUACGAGCCCAUUGGUUUCAAGGCAGUCACCAAAUAGUCCUAGCGGGGCUUCUUUCGGACAGUACAAUUAAAACUUUCCAGAUGCUCGCGCACUCCUGGCAAUUGAAAGGACUUCUUUUUCUUAAAAAAAAAAAAAAAGACGGCACAUGUGCUUUCCUGCGAACGAGCCACUUGGGACGUCAAGUUUACUUUUAUUGCGGUCACUUUUGAGAAAUAGAGUCGAGGUAAAAACUGAGUACUUCCGUAUCGUUCCUUCCGCAAGGAUCACAUAUGGGCUGGAAAUAGUUCCCCAAUACUUUACGUGGGGCACCAAAUCUUUACCUUAACUUUUUAUUUGUACCUCAUUUUUUUCCUUAUCUUUCCACACGAAAAGCUGGGGCUUUCGAGUGAGUUCGUUUUCACUAGACACUGCAGUGAGCAAUUCGCGGGGAAUCCCCGUCCUCCCCCCCUCCCCCCCCCCCCCCCUUCUUUUUUUUUUUGGCUUCAUACGUAGGCGUUCGUCGUAUCUCGUCGCUAUCACACUCAUCCACUUUCCUUCCUUCCGGCAUUCGCCUCCCCCCCCCCCCCACUCCCCUUUUCUCCCACUUAUUCCACUGUCACCAAGUGCUACAUUCCCUCCCGUCUCUCCCCUUCCCUAGGGCCCCUC
rnacentral:lncRNA from 1 species